CUGGGCGUAAAGAGCUCGUAGGUGGUUCGUCGCGUUGUUCGUGAAAUCUCACGGCUUAACUGUGAGCGUGCGGGCGAUACGGGCAGACUUGAGUACUGCAGGGGAGACUGGAAUUCCUGGUGUAGCGGUGGAAUGCGCAGAUAUCAGGAGGAACACCGGUGGCGAAGGCGGGUCUCUGGGCAGUAACUGACGCUGAGGAGCGAAAGCGUGGGGAGCGAACAGGAUUAGAUACCCUGGUAGUCCACGCCGUAAACGGUGGGUACUAGGUGUGGGUUUCCUUCCUUGGGAUCCGUGCCGUAGCUAGCGCAUUAAGUACCCCGCCUGGGGAGUACGGCCGCAAGGCUAAAACUCAAAGAAAUUGACGGGGGCCCGCACAAGCGGCGGAGCAUGUGGAUUAAUUCGAUGCAACGCGAAGAACCUUACCUGGGUUUGACAUGCACAGGACGCCGGCAGAGAUGUCGGUUCCCUUGUGGCCUGUGUGCAGGUGGUGCAUGGCUGUCGUCAGCUCGUGUCGUGAGAUGUUGGGUUAAGUCCCGCAACGAGCGCAACCCUUGUCUCAUGUUGCCAGCGGGUAAUGCCGGGGACUCGUGAGAGACUGCCGGGGUCAACUCGGAGGAAGGUGGGGAUGACGUCAAGUCAUCAUGCCCCUUAUGUCCAGGGCUUCACACAUGCUACAAUGGCCGGUACAAAGGGCUGCGAUGCCGCGAGGUUAAGCGAAUCCUUUUAAAGCCGGUCUCAGUUCGGAUCGGGGUCUGCAACUCGACCCCGUGAAGUCGGAGUCGCUAGUAAUCGCAGAUCAGCAACGCUGC
rnacentral:rRNA from 1 species